rnacentral:rRNA from 1 species
CGCGCAGGUGGUUUCUUAAGUCUGAUGUGAAAGCCCACGGCUCAACCGUGGAGGGUCAUUGGAAACUGGGAGACUUGAGUGCAGAAGAGGAAAGUGGAAUUCCAUGUGUAGCGGUGAAAUGCGUAGAGAUAUGGAGGAACACCAGUGGCGAAGGCGACUUUCUGGUCUGUAACUGACACUGAGGCGCGAAAGCGUGGGGAGCAAACAGGAUUAGAUACCCUGGUAGUCCACGCCGUAAACGAUGAGUGCUAAGUGUUAGAGGGUUUCCGCCCUUUAGUGCUGAAGUUAACGCAUUAAGCACUCCGCCUGGGGAGUACGGUCGCAAGAUUAAAACUUAAAGGAAUUGACGG